GAUGAACGCUAGCGGCAGGCUUAAUACAUGCAAGUCGUGGGGCAGCAGGACUGUAGCAAUACAGUUGCUGGCGACCGGCAAACGGGUGCGGAACACGUACGCAACUACCCCUGAACUGGGGGAUAGAUCGGGGAAACCCGGAUUAAUACACCGUAAUAUAAUGGAGUGGCAUCACUUUAUUAUUAAAGCUCCGGCGGAUCGGGAUGGGCGUUCGGCUGAUUAGGUAGUUGGUUGAUGUAACGGCUCACCAAGCAUACGAUCAGUAACUGGUGUGAGAGCACGACCGGUCACACGGGCGCUGGGACACGGGCCCGACUCCUACGAGACGCAGCAGUAAGGAAUAUUAGGCAGUGGAGGCGACUCUGACCCAGCCAUGCCGCGUGGAGUAGGAAGGUCCUCUGUGUUGUAUACUUCUUUUAGAGGUGACGAAACCUGUUUCUUCUUACGCAGUUGACGGUACCCUAGGAAUAAGCACCGGCUAACUCCGUG
rnacentral:rRNA from 1 species